rnacentral:rRNA from 1 species
AUUGAACGCUGGCGGCAGGCCUAACACAUGCAAGUCGAGCGGAUGAAGGGAGCUUGCUCCUGGAUUCAGCGGCGGGCGGGUGAGUAAUGCCUAGGAAUCUGCCUGGUAGUGGGGGAUAACGUCCGGAAACGGGCGCUGAUACCGCAUACGUCCUGAGGGAGAAAGUGGGGGAUCUUCGGACCUCACGCUAUCAGAUGAGCCUAGGUCGGAUUAGCUAGUUGGUGGGGUAAAGGCCUACCAAGGCGACGAUCCGUAACUGGUCUGAGAGGAUGAUCAGUCACACUGGAACUGAGACACGGUCCAGACUCCUACGGGAGGCAGCAGUGGGGAAUAUUGGACAAUGGGCGAAAGCCUGAUCCAGCCAUGCCGCGUGUGUGAAGAAGGUCUUCGGAUUGUAAAGCACUUUAAGUUGGGAGGAAGGGCAGUAAGUUAAUACCUUGCUGUUUUGACGUUACCAACAGAAUAAGCACCGGCUAACUUCGUG